rnacentral:rRNA from 1 species
UACGUAGGGUGCAAUCGUUAAUCGGAAUUACUGGGCGUAAAGCGUACGCAGGCGGCUUUGCAAGACAGGUGUGAAAUCCCCGGGCCUAACCUGGGAACUGCAUUUGUGACUGCAUGGCUAGAGUUUGUCAGAGGGGGGUGGAAUUCCACGUGUAGCAGUGAAAUGCGUAGAGAUGUGGAAGAACACCGAUGGCGAAGGCAGCCCCCUGGGAUGAGACUGACGCUCAUGUACGAAAGCGUGGGGAGAAAACAGG